rnacentral:rRNA from 1 species
AUGAUACAAACAACACACAAGCGGAAGUUACCUGUCAUUGCUCUCAAGCUGGAUUUUCGCAAGGCUUUCGAUUCUGUCAGCUGGGACUGCCUUACACAAAUCUUGAGCAUCAGGGGCUUCCCUACUAGGUGGAUACAGUGGAUCCAUGCACUCCUCUCAACGGGACGCUCUAGAGUACUGAUGAAUGGUGAGGUGGGUGCUCCCAUCCAAGCAAAGCAGGGCUUUAGGCAGGGUGACUCCAUAUCACCAUAUCUCUUUAUACUGGUUUGCUGA